ACGAUUAAAGAGGCACCAUCGGAAACCGUCACCGAAACGAACAACCGGCAACAGAAGUGGACGUCGGAAGAGACCGGUCUUGCAGUAACGGGAUAUUCGAACUCCAUCACGAUAGUUAGGCAAGGGACGGCAAACUGGCCUCUAGCUCGCGGUCCUACGUGGCUGGUGACAACAACAACAGAAAUAAGGACCAAGUCGAAUCGUAGUAAGGAGAAUCUUGAAACGCCAAGCUACAAUCGCGAGCAUUUCAGAACACGGCCAGUCAACGAGAUCCGCCCGAAAUCUUCCGUCGGAACCGCAAAGUCACCGCGGCAGAACAUCGCAAGAAGCGUCGCGCUGGAAGGUACAAGUUCCUUAUGGCGACCAACAUGAAGAACUUGGAUCCGUUUGCCGAGGACACGCGUUCGAUGAUUUCACCAGCGAUUUGGCCAGCGCCCCGGAGACGCUGAAGAAACCCUUCAAGGCGAUGAUCCCGUAAACGUUAGCUUCCCGGAAAGUUGCGAGCAGAUUGUAGAGCCAAAAUCGGCGUCGAACGCCUUGUGCGAUGGAAAAGUCGCACAAGGAAGAGCAGCGCGAGGAAGUCCCAAGAGCCUGAGGGAGUCGGUUGAGGGUGACUAUGCGUCAGCGACGGUCGGCGCUAGUAGUUCUGUGGGCUGGGACGGAUCGUUAUUGGCCAGCGCCAGCGAUCGCUAUCACUACAAGUUUCAUCCGGCGGGUGGCAGUGCCGCUGGUUGAUCGAAGGACGUGGAACGGUUGAUCCCAGUGCGAUCGCCGCCAGUGCUGAACUCCACAGCAAUGGCACUGCCGGUGAUCCAGCGCUGUCCUUGGACGAGGAGGAUCUUGCCAACCUGCAGGGUGCAAACGCCCUGGAGAAAAAGUUCGCGUAAAUUACAUACUUGCCGACCCCGACAGCAGAGGCCGGUGUACUAUGACCGUUUGCUGAUGACCUGCC